GCCUUCGUAGUGUAGUGGUCAGCACGCUGGGCGCGUAUUCCAGAGGUCCGUGGUUCGAGUCCCGGUGAAGACG
rnacentral:tRNA from 1 species